GACGAACGCUGGCGGCGUGCUUAACACAUGCAAGUCGAACGGAAAGGCCCUGCUUUUGUGGGGUGCUCGAGUGGCGAACGGGUGAGUAACACGUGAGUAACCUGCCCUUGACUUUGGGAUAACUUCAGGAAACUGGGGCUAAUACCGGAUAGGAGCUCCUGCUGCAUGGUGGGGGUUGGAAAGUUUCGGCGGUUGGGGAUGGACUCGCGGCUUAUCAGCUUGUUGGUGGGGUAGUGGCUUACCAAGGCUUUGACGGGUAGCCGGCCUGAGAGGGUGACCGGCGACAUGGGGACUGCGAUACGGCGCAGACUCGUACGGGAGGCAGAGGUGGGGAGUAUUGCACAAUGGGCGGACGCCUGAUGCAGCGACGCCGCGUGCGGGAUGACGGCCUUCGGGUUGUAAACCGCUUUCGCCUGUGACGAAGCGUGAGUGACGGUAAUGAGUAAAGAAGCACCGGCUAACUACGUG
rnacentral:rRNA from 1 species